GCUGUGAUGGCUGAGUGGUUAAGGUGUUGGACUUGAAAUCCAAUGGGGUGUCCCUGUGUAGGUUCAGAUCCUGCUCACGGCG